GUUGACUUUAUCACCUCGGGAUCACUGGGGUUUCGGACGCCUUGCUGCAGGCUUCAUCAUGCGCAUGCGCAUACCCCCUACCUGUUGGGCGCCAAGACCAGGCCGCAGGCCCAGGCCUGUGAGCCGCUUCCAGGAACAUCACCUGGCUGUCUUCCGCCUUGGACCCCAGCCUUCAACUUCCCCUCCCUGUUGUUUAAUCAGUCUUCAUCAAAUGUCAUUUUAGCUAUAUCUACUUAAUAUCCCUGGAAGUCAGAAGUCUCUGUGCAACAGAUAGAACCAACACAUCUCUAUCCGAAGAUAAGUUCCGCUUUCCUCAUUUCAGUUUGAUGAUAAACUCCAUACGUUUGGAUUAAUUGGGAGGAAAGGCAAGAGGCCAUAUAAAAAUGUUUGCAAGUUUGGGUUGUAGACCUAAAAAGGUUUUAAAAGGUCUAAGAAGAAGUGUAGACCACAGCAGUCUGGGCACCAUGAUGGAGAAUCGGCUUUCCCAAGGACACACAUACCUUUGUCACACCAAGCACCACCUUGUCCUCAGACUGUUCUUGUACUGGCUUUGUUUACAAGCCAGAUCUUUUUUUAAAUGAGAAAAAUCAAAUGUUCACUUAAGAAGUGAAAUUUGAAUAAAAUUACAGUUUCAGGCAAAGCCUAUAUUAUUUUUAAAAUCAGCGAAUAAAGCAAGGGAUAUUA
rnacentral:lncRNA from 1 species